AAGUUGAGCAGUGUGGUUAAUGUCUUCCCCCCCUCUCUGCUCUCUCUUCAUCAGGUUGAAGCACAUCCCCAACAUCCAGACUGAUCUAAAUAACGUGGAAACCUCCCAGCAGCCACCAAGAAAAUCAUCUUGGUACUUGGAGUUUACUCACAAGGUUUGUCAGAUGAUUUCCAGGAGCCUGGUGGAGAUGGAUACAACCAUAAUCCAAGACAGGACAUUUCCCAGCAUCCAGGUUGAGGCCUGCUACCAGCAGAAACAUGGAAUACUCCCAUGUGAGUCUGCUGGGCCAUGGAACUCUAGAGCAGCGCAUCAAACAAACCUGCCACCACGUUGUCAGCUAUCAGACAGUUCCCUGAGGAAGGAGGCAAAUAUCAAUGCUUUAAAUUAUCACAUUUGGGUGAUGCCCACCAAAUGCAAAUAAAGUUUUGUGUAAAAUUUUGUAACAAUAA